rnacentral:rRNA from 1 species
CCUACGGGAGGCAGCAGUCGAGAAUCAUUCACAAUGGGGGAAACCCUGAUGGUGCGACGCCGCGUGGGGGAAUGAAGGUCUUCGGAUUGUAAACCCCUGUCAUGUGGGAGCAAAUUAAAAAGAUAGUACAUCAAGAGGAAGAGACUACUAACUCUGUGCCAGCAGACGCGGUAAUACAGAGGUCUCAAGCGUUGUUCGGAAUUACUGGGCGUAAAGCGUGCGUAGGCUGUUUCGUAAGUCGUGUGUGAAAGGCGAGGGCUCAACCGGAGGCGGGCACAGGAUACUGCGAGACUAGAGUAAUGAAGGGGAAACCGGAAUUCUAGGGGUAGCAGUGAAAUGCGUAGAUAUAGAGAGGAACACUCGUGGCGAAGGCGGGUUCCUGGACAUUAACUGACGCUGAGGCACGAAGGCCAGGGGAGCGAAAGGGAUUAGAUACCCCUGUAGUC